ACACGUAGGGGGCAAGCGUUGUUCGGAAUUACUGGGCGUAAAGGGCAUGUAGGCGGCUUUGUAAGCUUGGCGUGAAAUUCCACGGCUUAACCGUGGGAAUGCGUUGAGAACUGCGAGGCUUGAGUUAUGGAGAGGGAGCUAGAAUUCCUGGUGUAGGGGUGGAAUCUGUAGAGAUCAGGAAGAAUACCAAUGGCGAAGGCAAGCUCCUGGCCAAUAACUGACGCUGAGGUGCGAAAGUGUGGGGAUC
rnacentral:rRNA from 1 species